CUGAGCUCAAAGCGAAUCCUUUUCUUAACUUAGCGCAGCGGAACUUCCAUUUUCUUUUUGAAACUCUUCUUAAGCCGGAAAAUUGCAGCUCUUGUAAAAUUACAGCUCAAAUUUUUGCUCUUCGGCAUAGUUGAGAGCGUGGCAUCCUUGUGCAGAAUUUUCAGGUGGUCUAACAUAAAAAGGUGUCCUCCUGCGUUGGCAUGAAACUCCAAAUUUCUAUCACUAAGUAAAAUGAUGAUGAUCUUAUACAUACAAUGCAGAAUAAGAAGUGGCUUUCCUUUGAAAUAAAAACACUCUUAUUUCAGUAAUUAGACCACGUCCCAUUCAGGAAGGAGAAUACUUUCUUGUCCCACAAAGUUAUGUAGACGGCUUGCACUUUUGCACAGUGUUAGGGUUUCAAUAUCAUUCUUUCUUUGCCCUGGACGUGUUUUUCAUUGUUCCAGUUUACGCAAUGGUUAAGUUAUCAGGUAGACGAAUGAUCCGAUGGGUUGCUUUUCUUUCUUUAAUGGGAGAGCAAUAUUGUUACAGUUUUGGCACUUAUACCGAGAUGUACUGCUGGAUUUGCAGGUGCAGUAAAUGCAUAUCACAAAGCUAGGUGGAAAAGUCACGAAUUUUUGGAUCAGAAUGGACGGAAUUGGAAAGAUAGGAAGAUGACUGGUAAACAGGUGAUGACGUUUCAUAGAACUGCACCAGGACUAGUGUUGGAGAUGGGAUCCAGUUUGUAGGGCAGUGAUAAGAGCUCCCCAAGGUGUUAAUGUGCAAGUUAAGUCAGAUGUUUUGAAGUUUAGUGGUAUGAAUGAAAAGCUCAGCUUUGUUGUGACAAUGGAGAUGGAAUUGAACAAGACGAUGGUGAAGGAUGAGUUUAUGUGGUAUGGAUAUCUUAGGUGGGUUGAUUGAAAUCAUCACAGGGUGCAGAGCCUGCUCGUUGCAUUUUUCUCCACUUGAUUGUAGUUUCCAGUAUAAAAAUUACAGACUUAUAAAAUAACCAUUCGAAAUACGGUGGCUAUGGAGCUCCAAUUUCACUGUAACUUGAACGCCAUCGUUUUAGAUGUUACCCCAAUGUCUCUGUAGUUUAUUUCCUUAGAGACAAAUUUGGCCUUUUCCAUUUCUUUUUCAAAAUAGCUUCCAUGCUGCUGUAUCUUGAUUUUGAAUCAUCUUUAAGUGGUAAUUACCAAAAUUCGAGUUGCUCCAUCGUCAAAUUUGCUCUAUUGCUUAUCCGACAAGCCAGUAGAGUCCAAGAGAAUGUUCAAACCAAGAAUGCAUUUUUCCUAAUUGCUCGAUGUCCUCUGAUACUGUUCUGUAUCCACAAACUUUAGACUAAGAGAGUCUAAGUGAAUGUUAUAGUGAACAUUGUCUUCAUAUGCCCCCGGUCAAGGACCUGUAGUUCUGAAUCCAUCUUUUUCUCCUCUUGGUGGCUUCUUCAUUCUUCUUCUAAAAACUCAAGCCGUAUGGUAGUGAAGAUGGCUUCACACCAACCAGUGGCGGUUGCUAGAAGAUUCACACUUCAACAUUCUGUCAAACAGUUCCAUUUUCCACAUCUUACUUUAAGAUGAAAUGCAACAAUUUGUGUGACAAGAUCCAAUAAUGAAAUGACAACCAAAAUUUAAGAACAUGUUUUUGGUCUCUUGGGUGCUCCUGCACCAAAGUCAAAUCUAGUAUUUUGUCAAACAUGUAUUAAAAAAAAAGUGUCUUUUUUUAUUGUUUCUCAUUCAAAAUCUAUUGUGAGAGUCUCCUAGAAAAUAAACAAGAGAAAAUGUGUUCUCAGUUUUGAUUGGAUGUUAUGUAUUGAAGUAUUUAUUCAAAAUCAAGCAAACAUAUGCUCUAUUGUCUCUAUUGUCA